UACGUAGGGCACAAGCGUUAUCCGGAAUUAUUGGGCGUAAAGAGCUCGUAGGCGGUUUGUCGCGUCUGCCGUGAAAGUCCGGGGCUCAACUCCGGAUCUGCGGUGGGUACGGGCAGACUAGAGUGAUGUAGGGGAGACUGGAAUUCCUGGUGUAGCGGUGGAAUGCGCAGAUAUCAGGAGGAACACCGGUGGCGAAGGCGGCAUCCUGGACCGAAAUUGACGCUGAGGCGCGAAAGCCAGGGGAGCAAACGGG
rnacentral:rRNA from 1 species